rnacentral:tRNA from 1 species
GGCGUGGUGGCCGAGCGGUUUAAGGCAGCGGUCUUGAAAACCGCCGAACGGGCAACCGUUCCGUGAGUUCGAAUCUCACCCACGCCG